rnacentral:lncRNA from 1 species
AUGGUCUCCAACUCCUGGAGAUUGCUUAUCUUCCUAGCUCAGCUUCCCAAGCAGCUGGGGCUGCAGUGGAGAGAAUUGCUUUGCAAAGGAGUCCGGGUCCCACUGGAAGGACCCCUUUCCAUACACCGUAGCAAUUCCGUAGCAGCCUCGACUCUCCCCUCGACGGACGGCAGAUGGCGCUGCGCUUCUCUUUUUGCCGCCUCGAUGACGGGACAGGAACCCAACUUUGGCAGAGCUGAGUUGAAGAUUGCUAGCGACCUAUUCGGAACUGGGUACUUCUCCUUCCUGCCAUCAUGUGAAGAAGAACACGUUUGCUUCCCCUUCCACCACGGUUAA